AUGAGGAACUCGCUUGGCAAUGGAGAGUACGUCUGGCAAACUGAGAUUCUGAGAUGGGAAUGAGGCGCCCCGUUCUGCACAACAGCUUCUCUUGCAGAUAGAGGUGACCAUGAGAAGUUGCUUGGGACUUCUGGGAAAGCUGCUUUAAGAGAUGGAGAUUCAACUGGUCCUUUGACCAUCCUCUUCCUCUUUGGAAUUUGGAUUUGACGUUGGAGUAGAGAGACCAUCUUGUGGCCAUGAGAUUUGGUACUGUGCAACUUUUGGCUCUUCCCUGAAGUCAAACUUGACCAUGAAAGGCAAACAUUUUGAGUUGAUUCAGGACACUGAGGCAGCCAUGAAGAGUGCAACUCAAGACAUGGAAGAAGAUGUCCAGAACUGCUUCAGGAAGUGGCAAGAACAGUGGGUGAAUCUCAUCCAAGAAAAAUGAGAAGAAAAUUAUUAUAAGGAUAAUCUUGAUUUGCUAAGAUUAUUAUUUUUCAAGUGCUCCUAAGCUUCAGUCUUUUACUUACCAUUCGUAACAAAUAGUACCAUGUAAUACAUGGUUGAGAAAUUCUUGCCAGAGUGCUGGGGUUAUAGGAGUGUACCAAGCCUAGCUGACCUCUUACUUUUUUUUUUUUUU
rnacentral:lncRNA from 1 species